rnacentral:tRNA from 1 species
AAAAAGUUAGUUUAAUUAAAAACACAAUCUUGUCAAGAUUGAAAUAUUAUGUUAAUACUUUUUA